AUAUAAUAUAUAUGUGUGUGUGUGUAACGAAAUUUAGGGGAGUUGAACUGCUAGCAAAAGCUAUGCGUUUUAAAGAAAAACCAACAACAAAAUAAACGAUGUAAGAAAUUACUUUAUGUAGUUAACUGAAUGAAUAAAAGCAUGAAAUAACGA